UCGAUCUGAAAGUUGGAAUUUGUUUUUUAAUUUUUUUGAAUUGUUUGCGUUGCUUUUGCAGGAAUUCAGUGUCGGGACAAAGGAGACGCUUGAUUACACUGCAUCGUGACUGACGAUUUAAGGAAGCUUUUAUCCGUUGUUGACUCAAGAAGAAAAGGAAAUUCUUGAAAGAUCGUCAGUAAAACAAAAAAAAAAAAAUUAAACAUAGGUAUCAAUUGAAUAAACAUCUCACCUUGGCUUCGAAGAAAUUCUUAGCUCCGGUCACGCCAACCUCGUCAACGUCCACCUCCGUAAGUCUGGCGAGUUGUCCCAGUCCGGAGUCUGACUCAAGCUCACCUGCUCGCGCUUUGCGGUAGAUCAGCAGAAACUG